rnacentral:lncRNA from 1 species
AUGACCUACGACCCUAAUCGAGAGUCACAGGUCCUGAAAUCUUUCACGUUCAGAGAUGUGGUGCAAGGCCGAGUCGCCAUUGAGGAAACUCUCAGCGACAGUGACAACCAACUCCCGAAUAACUCGCUCACCACCGCGCGGGGCCACGCCCCCGCCAGACCGCGCAACGAUUCCUUCGUCUUCUUGCUGAAGGCUGGAAACGUUCAGCCGGCGAAGGGCGAGCUCCACUUCACCAUCCUGCCCCACCACCAGAUGCGUCACGGCCCAGGCGGGCUCGGUAACGUGGACGGCGGCGGCCGCGAGCACACCACGACCCACCAGCCAACGCACAACAGGACGACGACCGGAGGAGGAAGAGGAGGCGGGAGAGGAGGAUCCACAACCCACGGCGGAGCUCCCACAGGUCUGCAUCCUCACAUUUUGUCGCACAAGAACAGGACGCACCACAGGCCCAAGUCUCACGGCCGCUGGGGGAACCAUUCGCGGAGCGGUUCCCAUGGGGGGAGACCGGGGAGCGGUGCGGAGGGAACAGGAGGAGGCCACGGUCAUGCCCCGCAGCCCAACGCUCCCGCUGUUCCGGAAAAACACGACCCGGGAAACCCUCCAGACACACACCUGGUUCACGUAGAGGUCCUCCCCCGCCCCGCCUCCGACCCUCUCCUCAUUAUCCUGCCCCUCUUGGCGUGUUUGCUUCUCAUUGUCAUCCUGGUGGUUUUGAUUUCGGUGUUCCGUCACCGCAAAGAGAAACAGGCUCGACUGCGGCUCAUCCAGGAGCUCGCGGCAGUGACGCUGCCCGCUGAGGAGAGCCCCUUCCUGGGGCCGUCGGAGAGGAGCGUGGCCAUGCCGUCCGUGGUGGUCACCCCACUCGGCUCCGCCAGCUGCCCAACCUCCCCCAGUAUCCCAAUCAGUCCCAGGAGGAGGAGUCUGGCUCCUGGGAUGACUUUCUGGGGGCCAGUUGAAGCUGAUGUGGGAGGGGCUGCUGGGAUUUCUACAAGUGGUAAAAAUGAAAGAGAUGAUGUUCCAGGGGAUAAUACCCAAGUCCAAACAGCAGGAUUCAAGAAUGCUGUGAGAUCUCGGUCACCUGCACCCACUCUAAAAGACAACCAGUACUGGGUUUAA